rnacentral:rRNA from 1 species
AACGAACGCUGGCGGCAGGCUUAACAAAUGCAAGUCGAACGCCCCGCCCGGGGGGUGGCAGACGGGUGAGUAACGCGUGGGGACAUACCCUUUUCUACGCAAUAGCUCUGGGAAACUGGAAUUAAUACCGUAUACGCCCUACGGGGGAAAGAUUUAUCGGGGAAGGAUUGGCCCGCGUUGGAUUAGCUAGUUGGUGGGGUAAAGGCCUACCAAGGCGACGAUCCAUAGCUGGUCUGAGAGGAUGAUCAGCCACAUUGGGACUGGGAAACGGCCCAAACUCCUACGGGAGGAAGCAGCGGGGAAUAUUGGACAAUGGGCGCAAGCCCGACACUGCCAUGCCGCGUGAGUGAUGAAGGCCUUAGGGUGGUAAAGCUCUUUCACCGAUGAAGAUAAUGACGGUACUCGGAGAAUAAGCCCCGGCUAACUUCGUG